GAUGAACGCUGGCGGCGUGCUUAACACAUGCAAGUCGAGCGAGAAAAGUUCUUCGGAGCUUUUCUAGCGGCGGACGGGUGAGUAACACGUGGGCAACCUGCCUCAUAGAGGGGAAUAGCCUUCCGAAAGGAAGAUUAAUACCGCAUAAUAUUGUUGAAAGGCGUCUUUUGACAAUCAAAGGAGCAAUCCGCUAUGAGAUGGGCCCGCGGCGCAUUAGCUAGUUGGUGAGGUAACGGCUCACCAAGGCGACGAUGCGUAGCCGACCUGAGAGGGUGAUCGGCCACAUUGGAACUGAGACACGGUCCAGACUCCUACGGGAGGCAGCAGUGGGGAAUAUUGCACAAUGGGGGAAACCCUGAUGCAGCAACGCCGCGUGAGUGAUGAAGGUCUUCGGAUUGUAAAGCUCUGUCUUUAGGGACGAUAAUGACGGUACCUAGGGAGGAAGCCACGGCUAACUACGUGCCAGCAGCCGCCGUAAUAC
rnacentral:rRNA from 1 species